UGAUGGUGGAGGGGGUACGUGAUGGGGUUGGAAGGUGUUUGGGGUGUGAGGAGGAGGGAAUGAAGGUUUUGGGAGUGAUGUUGGUGAUGAAAGAUAUUAAUUGGUGGAGGAGUUGGAUGGAGAUGUUCUGAUUGUGGUUGGAAAGCAGUGGAGGAGGUACAUAACCUAAAAAUGAAGAUUUUGGGAGUGAUAUUAGUGAUAAAAGAGGUUAAUUGUUGGAGGAUUUGGACAGAAAUCUUCUGAUUGUGGUCGUAAAGCAGUGGAGGAGGUUAAUGAUGUGUUUGGAGAGCCUCAUCUCCAUCAUGAGGACGUAUUUAACCUCCAAAGCACUGGAGGAGGUUUAUGAUGGGGUUGGAAUGUGUCAUCUUGAUGGUGAGGACGUAUUUAACCUCCAAAUGAUGAUUUUGGGAGUGAUAUUAGUGAUAAAACACCUUAAUUCUUGAAGAAAUUGGACACAGACCUUCUGAUUGUAUUCAUAAACCACUGAAGGACGUCCAUAACCUCCAAAUCCCCCAGGAUAUCUCCAACCCCAACCCCCCAGGCGACUAGUUACGGUUCAACUUCAUCAUUUAAACAAAGUUAACAGACAAAAGUCGACAGAGACAGAAUUUCUCGUCUGAAUUCAAUGGACUGAACAUUCUCGAUAAAACAAAAUAAAUGUUUAUAGGCCUCAAUUUCAUGUUCUUUUGUUUAUCAUAACAAAUGGACGAACUCCAUGACUUUACAGAGUUGGGGUAGUACUUCGUAUAAACAAUAAUAAUAAAUAUUUUAAUAAUUUUA